UACAGAGGUCUCAAGCGUUGUUCGGAAUCACUGGGCGUAAAGGGUGUGUAGGCGGCGUGAAAAGUCAGAUGUGAAAUCCAGGAGCUCAACUUCUGAAAUGCAUCCGAUACUGUCAUGCUGGAGGUCUGUAGAGGAGUCUGGAAUUCUCGGUGUAGCAGUGAAAUGCGUGGAUAUCGAGAGGAACACUUAUAGCGAAAGCAAGACUCUGGGCAGAAAACUGACGCUGAAACACGAAGGCCAGGGUAGCGAACGGG
rnacentral:rRNA from 1 species